GCCGCUACGAUGUCGACUUGGAGGUUGUGCCCUUGAGGCGUGGCUUCCGGAGCUAACGCGUUAAGUCGACCGCCUGGGGAGUACGGCCGCAAGGUUAAAACUCAAAUGAAUUGACGGGGGCCCGCACAAGCGGUGGAGCAUGUGGUUUAAUUCGAUGCAACGCGAAGAACCUUACCUACUCUUGACAUCCAGAGAAUUUAGCAGAGAUGCUUUGGUGCCUUCGGGAACUCUGAGACAGGUGCUGCAUGGCUGUCGUCAGCUCGUGUUGUGAAAUGUUGGGUUAAGUCCCGCAACGAGCGCAACCCUUAUCCUUUGUUGCCAGCGAUUCGGUCGGGAACUCAAAGGAGACUGCCAGUGAUAAACUGGAGGAAGGUGGGGAUGACGUCAAGUCAUCAUGGCCCUUACGAGUAGGGCUACACACGUGCUACAAUGGCAUAUACAAAGAGAAGCGACCUCGCGAGAGCAAGCGGACCUCAUAAAGUAUGUCGUAGUCCGGAUCGGAGUCUGCAACUCGACUCCGUGAAGUCGGAAUCGCUAGUAAUCGUGGAUCAGAAUGCCACGGUGAAUACGUUCCCGGGCCUUGUACACACCGCCCGUCACACCAUGGGAGUGGGUUGCAAAAGAAGUAGGUAGCUUAACCUUCGGGAGGGCGCUUACCACUUUGUGAUUCAUGACUGGGGUGAAGUCUC
rnacentral:rRNA from 1 species